rnacentral:rRNA from 1 species
UACGGGGGGGGCAAGCGUUGUUCGGAAUUACUGGGCGUAAAGGGCGCGUAGGCGGCCUGCUAAGUCACACGUGAAAUCCCUCGGCUCAACCGGGGAACUGCGUGUGAUACUGGCGGGCUUGAAUUCGGGAGAGGGAUGUGGAAUUCCAGGUGUAGCGGUGAAAUGCGUAGAUAUCGAGAGGAACACCUGCGGCGAAGGCGGGUGGCUGGGCCGACACUGACGCUGAGGCGCGAAAGCCAGGGGAGCGAACGGG